GACAUAUUUACAAGCCUCUAAUAAUAGAUGUACUAUGAUCAGAACAGGGCCCCGACCUACCCAUAACCUAUCUACAUAUAUACACAAGAUACACACCACACUGCUAGCCCUGGUAACUCUGAAAGAAGGGGAGCUUAUCGAUAAAGCUGAUCUCGGGCAACACCUACUGAGGAGGUCUACCCGUCCGUCUGUCUGACCCUGCAUGCAUGAAAUGCAACGUCCCUAGAAAGGGACGUCAGUACGAAAUAAUGUACCGAGUAUGCAAGGUAAUAUACUGAAAUUGAAACUGAACUGAUAAUAUAACAACUGAGAACAACUGGGAGUCAAAGAAAACUCGAGGAUAUGCUCAUCUGAUAAUACUGACUCAAUUCUCUUAAUAUAGUAAGUAAAAUAGCUGUCCGACCCUAUAAGGCUCGGUAUAUAUAUAUAUAUCUGCUCUGUCGCAGUAGGCUCGCUCAUAAGCGCUCGGCCAUACUAGGCUCUGUAUCUCGACCAACUAGGCUAGCCCAUAUGCGCUCGGCCACAGUAGGAUCGUCAUAUAACUUACCAUCUGAUCAGAGGUUACUCAAUAGGAGUCUGCCCAUCGAUUAUAGCUCGAUGGUAAUAAAAAUACUUUUAAUACUGUAUAUAUGUAACUUCUCUGCUCUCUUGACUGGAAGAAGGAAAUACUCAACUGAAUAUGAAGUCCUGAAAAGAAGAAUAUGGUAACUUACAAAACUAGGAAAAUAUUAACCUCCUGCAUGUAUUUAAAGUAGUUGCCUAUAAUAACACUUGCAGUACUAAUCAUAUAUGAGCCUUUUGUCAACCUAAAUUUCUUAAUCAUAUGACGAAGGCAGUAGUAUUUCCCAGGAGGUUGCACCUAAUUUUGUGCAUAAGACUAACUUAUAUUUGGUUCUUUAUUUGUUUCACUUCUUUCUAGGAAUAUCAUGGAUACCUUUAAUUGAAAAGGUUCUGUUGUACAUUCAAACAUGAAAUGCAAAUUAACAAUUGGUUUUAUGAACACGCUUCCCGUUAUUAGAGGGAAAAGUAUAUAUACAGGACUACUUAUUUAAAUAGACAAAUAUACGUAAAUUCCGGGAUAUGAAUUUUUCCUUAUACUUCGUUAUCAAACUUGUGUAAUGACAAGAUCAUGCCAAAAUGAAGGAAGAGCUUAGCCUUAACAUACCUUUCUCUUGAAUUAUUUGAACGAAUCUGCUUUUGCGAAAUUUACAUCUGGAUGAACUUAAAAUCUCGGACGAAAUUAUUCUGCUUCUAACGUUUUUGAACGAAAUGUUGGCUAAGGAUUGAAUUGAAAUUAGACAAAUUUAACUUACUUGGAUUUGUUGAAGUUGAACUUUGCUUGGAUUUAAACAUUUUGACGAAAAGAUUCUGCCUUUUNN
rnacentral:lncRNA from 1 species